UACGAAGGGGGCUAGCGUUGCUCGGAAUUACUGGGCGUAAAGGGCGCGUAGGCGGAUAUUUAAGUCGGGGGUGAAAGCCCAGGGCUCAACCCUGGAACAGCCUUCGAUACUGGAUAUCUUGAGUACGGGAGAGGUGUGUGGAACUCCGAGUGUAGAGGUGAAAUUCGUAGAUAUUCGGAAGAACACCAGUGGCGAAGGCGGACUCACUGGCCCGAGUACUGACGCUGAGGUGCGAAAGCGUGGGGAGCAAACAGGG
rnacentral:rRNA from 1 species